rnacentral:rRNA from 1 species
GACGAACGCUGGCGGCGCGCCUAACACAUGCAAGUCGAACGAGAGAUGAGGAGCUUGCUCUUCAAAUCGAGUGGCGAACGGGUGAGUAACGCGUGAGGAACCUGCCUCAAAGAGGGGGACAACAGUUGGAAACGACUGCUAAUACCGCAUAAGCCCACGGCUCGGCAUCGAGCAGAGGGAAAAGGAGCAAUCCGCUUUGAGAUGGCCUCGCGUCCGAUUAGCUAGUUGGUGAGGUAACGGCCCACCAAGGCGACGAUCGGUAGCCGGACUGAGAGGUUGAACGGCCACAUUGGGACUGAGACACGGCCCAGACUCCUACGGGAGGCAGCAGUGGGGAAUAUUGCACAAUGGGGGAAACCCUGAUGCAGCGACGCCGCGUGGAGGAAGAAGGUCUUCGGAUUGUAAACUCCUGUUGUUGAGGAAGAUAAUGACGGUACUCAACAAGGAAGUGACGGCUAACUACGUGCCAGCAGCCGCGGUAAAACGUAGGUCACAAGCGUUGUCCGGAAUUACUGGGUGUAAAGGGAGCGCAGGCGGGAGAACAAGUUGGAAGUGAAAUCCAUGGGCUCAACCCAUGAACUGCUUUCAAAACUGUUUUUCUUGAGUAGUGCAGAGGUAGGCGGAAUUCCCGGUGUAGCGGUGGAAUGCGUAGAUAUCGGGAGGAACACCAGUGGCGAAGGCGGCCUACUGGGCACCAACUGACGCUGAGGCUCGAAAGUGUGGGUAGCAAACAGGAUUAGAUACCCUGGUAGUCCACACCGUAAACGAUGAUUACUAGGUGUUGGAGGAUUGACCCCUUCAGUGCCGCAGUUAACACAAUAAGUAAUCCACCUGGGGAGUACGACCGCAAGGUUGAAACUCAAAGGAAUUGACGGGGGCCCGCACAAGCAGUGGAGUAUGUGGUUUAAUUCGACGCAACGCGAAGAACCUUACCAAGUCUUGACAUCCCUUGACGAUGCUGGAAACAGUAUUUCUCUUCGGAGCAAGGAGACAGGUGGUGCAUGGUUGUUGUCAGCUCGUGUCGUGAGAUGUUGGGUUAAGUCCCGCAACGAGCGCAACCCUUAUGGUCAGUUACUACGCAAGAGGACUCUGGCCAGACUGCCGUUGACAAAACGGAGGAAGGUGGGGAUGACGUCAAAUCAUCAUGCCCUUUAUGACUUGGGCUACACACGUACUACAAUGGCGUUAAACAAAGAGAAGCAAGACCGCGAGGUGGAGCAAAACUCAGAAACAACGUCCCAGUUCGGACUGCAGGCUGCAACUCGCCUGCACGAAGUCGGAAUUGCUAGUAAUCGUGGAUCAGCAUGCCUCGGUGAAAUACGUUCCCGGGCCCU